AUACGUAGGGGGCGAGCGUUGUCCGGAAUUACUGGGCGUAAAGGGCGUGUAGGCGGUUUGUCAAGUCAGGUGUGAAAUUUUAAGGCUCAACCUUAAGACUGCGCCUGAAACUGGCAGGCUUGAGGGCAGGAGAGGAGAGCGGAAUUCCCAGUGUAGCGGUGAAAUGCGUAGAUAUUGGGAGGAACACCAGUGGCGAAGGCGGCUCUCUGGACUGUACCUGACGCUGAGGCGCGAAAGCGUGGGGAGCAAACAGGAUUAGAUACUCUGGUAGUCCACGCUGUAAACUACGGGUGCUAGGUGUUGGGGGUAUCGAACCCCCCAGUGCCGCAGCAAACGCAAUAAGCACCCCGCCUGGGGAGUACGGCCGCAAGGCUGAA
rnacentral:rRNA from 1 species